UACGUAGGAUGCAAGCGUUGUCCGGAAUUACUGGGCGUAAAGGGCGAGCAGGUGGCACUACAAGUCUGAUGUAAAAUCUCCCGGCUUAACUGGGAGGGGCCAUUGGAAACUGUAGAGCUGGAGUGCAGGAGAGGCUAACGGAAUUCCCGGUGUAGUGGUGAAAUGCGUAGAUAUCGGGAGGAACACCAGUGGCGAAGGCGGUUCUCUGGGCCUGUACUGACGCUGAGGAACGAAAGCGUGGGGAGCGAACGAGG
rnacentral:rRNA from 1 species